rnacentral:rRNA from 1 species
UGACUUAGUACGGCGAGUGAAGCGGCAAAAGCUCAAAUUUGAAAUCUGGUACCUUCGGUGCCCGAGUUGUAAUUUGGAGAGGGCAACUUUGGGGCCGUUCCUUGUCUAUGUUCCUUGGAACAGGACGUCAUAGAGGGUGAGAAUCCCGUGUGGCGAGGAGUGCGGUUCUUUGUAAAGUGCCUUCGAAGAGUCGAGUUGUUUGGGAAUGCAGCUCUAAGUGGGUGGUAAAUUCCAUCUAAAGCUAAAUAUUGGCGAGAGACCGAUAGCGAACAAGUACAGUGAUGGAAAGAUGAAAAGAACUUUGAAAAGAGAGUGAAAAAGUACGUGAAAUUGUUGAAAGGGAAGGGCAUUUGAUCAGACAUGGUGUUUUGUGCCCUCUGCUCCUUGUGGGUAGGGGAAUCUCGCAUUUCACUGGGCCAGCAUCAGUUUUGGUGGCAGGAUAAAUCCAUAGGAAUGUAGCUUGCCUCGGUAAGUAUUAUAGCCUGUGGGAAUACUGCCAGCUGGGACUGAGGACUGCGACGUAAGUCAAGGAUGCUGGCAUAAUGGUUAUAUGCCGCCCGUCUUGAACCCCGAGCACACA